rnacentral:pre_miRNA from 1 species
UGUUGAUGGCGAUCUUGGCGAUGAAGUUGAUGAUGAUGUUGACGUGUUGUUAAUGGUCGAUAAUAUUAGCAUCAUCAUCAUCAUCAUCAUCAUGAUCAUCA